rnacentral:lncRNA from 1 species
GCCUUAUUGCUCUGUCCUUCUGGUGGAAAGGAAGGCAGGAGAGAGCACUUUCUUCAAACUUGAACCAUUUUAUAAGGAUGCUAAACCCAGUAAUGAGGGUGGAGUUAGCCACUUUUCAACAGCCACACCUUUUAACACACACUGUUGCAUUUAGGAUUAAGUUUCAACAUGAAUUUUGGAGGAGACACCAUCAUUCAAACCAUAGCACCAUCUUUUGGGAUCUAUAGAUAAGGAUUCAUAACCAUAUGAAGAAUUAAAAUCAUAGAAGACACUUAUCAUUGUUGUUAUUUUUGCUAUUACUUGGCCACAUGGCCUCCUACCUGUGACAGCAAUUAUAAUAGUGAUGAUGAUGAUGAUAUGACAAACAUAAUAAGCAUUUAUUGGGUCAAUGAAAGAGAUAUUUAAAGCUCCCAGCACAGUGUCUUGCCUGUGGUAAGUACCUAUAUUAUAAUCAUGGAUGAUUGAAAGAUACUCAUGCCUGAUAUUUAUUUCUAUAAUAUUAAUUAUGCAUAUUCUUUGAAAAAUUAAGCAAUUAUUUUUGGGAUAAUUACUUAACUUAAAC